rnacentral:tRNA from 1 species
CCUGGUGGCUCAGAGGGUAAAGAGUCUGCCUGCAAUGCAGAAGACCUGGGUUUGAUCCCUGGGUCAGGA